GCUCAGCAGAAGAGCCUGUCCUGAGCAUGGAAUAGGAUACUCAAGUAUGGAUGGCUGGACUAGAGCACUUUGAAGUCGUUUCUGUAACUGAUCUUGUUGUAAUUAUUAUUGAUGUAUGUCCGUAUUACUGAUAUAAUUCAUAUUAUCAAUAUACUGAUAUUGGUAUAAUUCCUUGUACUUAGAGGUGCUGUGUUUUGGAGUUUGGAGUUUUUUCCUCUCACGCUUUGUGAUGGAUGAGAUGCAUGCAUUUAGAAUAAUAAACAAUGGGUAAAGGGGGUCUCUACAUAAAUGGGGACCUCUGUGUAAUUAUGGCCAUUCCAUUCGCAUGUUUUGCCUCUGGAAGACAAGAUGCGAGACCCUGCCCAGUUUCCAGUCAUCCUGUGCAGGGGGAUGCUUGUGGUCACCACCCUGUACAGAGGUCUUGGGGCCUUGGGCUACCUUAAAUUUCUGGGCCCACCACCUGUGCAAGCACCAUCCGAAACCUCUCCAGCUGCUGCCCCGUCUACCACCUGCAAGACAGAGAACCGGGUCAAGGAAUCCUGACAUGGUUGGACCCCUUCCCUCACCUCACACACCACCAAUUAUAUUCCAUCUGGAACCUGGUGGUGACCCAGUGUGGCAGGAAUGCAAAAGAAGGAGAAGGGACUGUGAGCAGAGAACAGAGAAGCAUCGCAGGAGCCUCUGAGACCUGAACAGCUUUGAGCAGGAGUGUGAGCGAUUACCAAGAGAGGAAAAGGACAUUCUGGGCAGAGGGAGCUGCUCAUGCAACAGGCAUUGAUUGCGAAGGUGUACGGUGUGCUCGGGGGAUGGCUCUGACGGCCUGGUUGGUGCGGUGUGAUGCUGAGCACAUGGGGCGAAGACUGAGGGAGGGACUGUUGUGAGACGAGAUGGCAGGAAAGUGGACUUGAAAUUCAGUGGGCUUUGAACCCCGGGCUCAAGUUUGGAACUCUUUCCUGUAGGCAAUGGGAUGUCAUUAAAGGCUUUUUGAGCAUUGCGCUGACAAUUAUUAACCUUUUCUCUGUCUUA